rnacentral:rRNA from 1 species
GACGAACGCUGGCGGCGUGCUUAACGCAUGCAAGUCGAACGGAAAGGCCCUGCUUUUGUGGGGUGCUCGAGUGGCGAACGGGUGAGUAACACGUGAGUAACCUGCCCUUGACUUUGGGAUAACUUCAGGAAACUGGGGCUAAUACCGGAUAGGAGCUCCUGCUGCAUGGUGGGGGUUGGAAAGUUUCGGCGGUUGGGGAUGGACUCGCGGCUUAUCAGCUUGUUGGUGGGGUAGUGGCUUACCAAGGCUUUGACGGGUAGCCGGCCUGAGAGGGUGACCGGCCACAUUGGGACUGAGAUACGGCCCAGACUCCUACGGGAGGCAGCAGUGGGGAAUAUUGCACAAUGGGCGGAAGCCUGAUGCAGCAACGCCGCGUGCGGGAUGACGGUCUUCGGGUUGUAAACCGCUUUCGCCUGUGACGAAGCGUGAGUGACGGUAAUGGGUAAAGAAGCACCGGCUAACUACGUG